GACGUAGGGCGCGAGCGUUGUCCGGAUUUAUUGGGCGUAAAGAGCUCGUAGGCGGCUUGUCGCGUCGUCCGUGAAAACUUGGGGCUCAACCCCAAGCUUGCGGUCGAUACGGGCAGGCUCGAGUUCGGUAGGGGAGACUGGAAUUCCUGGUGUAGCGGUGAAAUGCGCAGAUAUCAGGAGGAACACCGGUGGCGAAGGCGGGUCUCUGGGCCGAUACUGACGCUGAGGAGCGAAAGCAUGGGGAGCGAACAGG
rnacentral:rRNA from 1 species